rnacentral:lncRNA from 1 species
GAGGCGGGAGGAUCACCUGAGGUCAGGAAUUCAAGACCAGCCUGGCCCACAUGGUGAAACCCUGUCUACCAAUGAUCCAAAAAUUAGCCGGGUGUGGUGGUGCAUGUGUGUAAUCCCAGCUACUCCGGAGGCUGAGGCAGAAGAAUCUCUCGAACCCAGGAGGCGGAGGUUGCAGAGAGCCAGGUCGUGCCACUGCACUCCAGCCUGGCUCUGUCUUGGUGUUCAGCCACGUUCCCAUGCUCACUCCCAGGGUGACUCUGGGAAGGUCUGAGCCUCCUUGUCUUCCCAGUUAGAAUGAUCCGAUGCCCCUGCUGCCAUCAGACAUGAGUGGGCACAGUGGAUCCCGUCAUGGAGAAGUUCCACACAUCCAUCACCUACGACCGGCACCUGUGGGAGGUGGAUGUUCAAGGCAGCAGAGGCUACAGCAGGGGCCUGGAGAAGGCAGGGCUCCUCACCAAGGCCUAGAUGGACCAGAUACUCCAUGGCCUAGACAAGGUGGCUGAGGAGUGGGCCCAGGGCACCUUCAAACUCAGCCCCAAUGAUGCUGACAUCCACACAGCCAACAAGCACCGCCUGAAGGUAUGACCUCUGCAGCCCUGUAGGGAGACCCCCUGAAACUAUUGCUAUGGAAUAAAAGAUGAAAUGCUCCUGAUUAUUGUAAAUAGAAAAUCGCACACAGGAUUGUGUAAAGACAAUGCCAGGUUGGACCGCCAGAAUGAGCCAACAGCGUGUGAUGUGCUUCCCCCUGCAGAGAGCCUAUGAAUGGAUGUGCAGUCAGGGAAGUUUCACAUCACCAAGAUUCCUAUCCCAGAAAAGCAGAUGUUCAUAGCUCCGGGAAUGGAAUGCGAACCUUGUUGAGAGCCUAUAAAUGGACGCAUGGGGUGCGCCUGUCCAUAUGGAUAAGGUAGGGCUAUAAACGCCCUCAUCUUGCCACGGCUCUUCUAGGCCUCUUUAGGGUUAAGGCAUACUCCCUUCUGAGAAUUUCUGGUCUAAUGGGUUGUCUAGCUUCACGUCCUGUUUCUAUGGAUUAUUUGUAACCAAUUUUUGCUGCAGCUGUUACUGCUGAUUAAUAUCUUGCUAAUCAUAGGUUAUGGAAAGACUGUGUUUCUGUUUUAAGGCUCUGUUAGAAAUUACUGAUGCACACACUACAUUGUAAAUUCUUAUCUGUAUACUGUACUUCUGCAUACAGAUGUUAUGUUAAAGAAUUACUUCAUCCCCAUGUCACCAUCUCACCUCAUAAUCAAACGACCCUAAAUCCCUCACUAACCUACUUCUGCCCUCACUAAACUUAAUAAUAAAUGCUG